rnacentral:rRNA from 1 species
UACGAAGGGGGCUAGCGUUGCUCGGAAUCACUGGGCGUAAAGCGCACGUAGGCGGCUUUCUAAGUCAGGGGUGAAAUCCUGGAGCUCAACUCCAGAACUGCCUUUGAUACUGGGAAGCUCGAGUCCGGAAGAGGUGAGUGGAACUGCGAGUGUAGAGGUGAAAUUCGUAGAUAUUCGCAAGAACACCAGUGGCGAAGGCGGCUCACUGGCCCAUUACUGACGCUGAGGCACGAAAGCGUGGGAGCAA